AACGUAGGUGGCAAGCGUUAUCCGGAUUUACUGGGCGUAAAGGGUGUGCAGGCGGGGUUGCAAGUGGUGUAUGAAAUCUCCCGGCUUAACCGGGAGGGGUUAUGCCAGACUGCAAUUCUAGAGGACGAGAGAGGGAGGUAGAAUUCCACGUGUAGCAGUGAAAUGCGUAGAGAUGUGGAGGAAUACCGAUGGCGAAGGCAGCCUCCCUGGGCCAACACUGACGCUCAUGCACGAAAGCGUGGGGAGCAAACAGG
rnacentral:rRNA from 1 species